rnacentral:rRNA from 1 species
UACGGGGGGGGUAAGCGUUGUUCGGAAUUACUGGGCGUAAAGGGCUCGUAGGCGGCCAACUAAGUCAUACGUGAAAUCCCUCAGCUUAACUGGGGAACUGCGUGUGAUACUGGAUGGCUUGGAUUUGGGAGAGGGAUGCGGAAUUCCAGGUGUAGCGGUGAAAUGCGUAGAUAUCAGGAGGAACACCAAUUGCGAAGGCAGCUUACUGGGCCACACCUGACGCUGAGGUACGAAAGCGUGGGGAGCGAACAGG